GUAGAAGAUGGUGUUGCUGCUUAC
rnacentral:siRNA from 1 species